UUAUGAUCUAAUUGGGUUCUCCUGGAGCACAACUUUGCUUGUUAUUCAAAUGGGAAUAGUGACUAUUGGAAUACUGAUCAGUUUCAUGUUUCGAGCAAAACAUACAGAAUAUCAAUUGAUUCAAGAUUUUAGUCCUGAGUCAAGUCUAUGACUAAAAGAAGAAAGAAACCAAAGCUAGUUACUAAGAUUAUAGAAAAUGAAAACUUAGAACAUGUGUGUAGAAAAUUUAGCUAUUGAAUGUCCAAUAAAUGUCUUUAAUUUACA